UACGUAGGGUCCGAGCGUUGUCCGGAAUUACUGGGCGUAAAGAGCUCGUAGGUGGUUUGUCGCGUUGUUCGUGAAAACUCACAACUCAAUUGUGGGCGUGCGGGCGAUACGGGCAGACUUGAGUACUGCAGGGGAGACUGGAAUUCCUGGUGUAGCGGUGGAAUGCGCAGAUAUCAGGAGGAACACCGGUGGCGAAGGCAGCACUCUGGGCCGGUACUGACGCUGAGGAGCGAAAGCAUGGGGAGCGAACAGG
rnacentral:rRNA from 1 species